AAUGAGCCUGCGAGUUGUGGUGUCUGGCAAGGUUAAGCAAACGCGAAGCCGUAGCGAAAGCGAGUCUGAAUAGGGCGCUUAGUCAGAUGCUGCAGACCCGAAACGAAGUGAUCUAUCCAUGAGCAAGUUGAAGCUAGUGUAAGAACUAGUGGAGGACUGAACCCAUAGGCGUUGAAAAGCCCCGGGAUGACUUGUGGAUAGGGGUGAAAGGCCAAUCAAACUUCGUGAUAGCUGGUUCUCUCCGAAAUAUAUUUAGGUAUAGCGUUGUGUCGUAAUAUAAGGGGGUAGAGCACUGAAUGGGCUAGGGCAUACACCAAUGUACCAAACCCUAUCAAACUCCGAAUACCUUAUAUGUAAUCACAGCAGUCAGGCGGCGAGUGAUAAAAUCCGUCGUCAAGAGGGAAACAACCCAGACUACCAGCUAAGGUCCCUAAAUCUUACUUAAGUGGAAAACGAUGUGAAGUUACUUAAACAACCAGGAGGUUGGCUUAGAAGCAGCCAUCCUUUAAAGAAAGCGUAAUAGCUCACUGGUCUAGUGAUUUUGCGCGGAAAAUAUAACGGGGCUAAAGUAAGUACCGAAGCUGUAGACUUGCGCACAACUUAGAUUAUUUAAGUUUAGAAUAUGAGAAACUAAGUUAUGUUUAGUUAUAUUUUUACUGAUUUUUAUAGAGUAAAGAUAGAAAUAAAACUUAGUAAAAUCAGUAAAAAUAUUCUUAGGCUAAAGUUAAGUAGUUUAAGUUGUGUGCAAGUGGUAGGAGAGCGUUCUAUUUGCGUCGAAGGUAUACCGGUAAGGAGUGCUGGAGCGAAUAGAAGUGAGCAUGCAGGCAUGAGUAGCGAUAAUUAAUGUGAGAAUCAUUAACGCCGUAAACCCAAGGUUUCCUACGCGAUGCUCGUCAUCGUAGGGUUAGUCGGGUCCUAAGUCGAGUCCGAAAGGGGUAGACGAUGGCAAAUUGGUUAAUAUUCCAAUACCAACAUUAGUGUGCGAUGGAAGGACGCUUAGGGCUAAGGGGGCUAGCGGAUGGAAGUGCUAGUCUAAGGUCGUAGGAGGUUAUACAGGCAAAUCCGUAUAACAAUACUCCGAGAACUGAAAGGCUUUUUGAAGUCUUCGGAUGGAUAGAAGAACCCCUGAUGCCGUCGAGCCAAGAAAAGUUUCUAAGUUUAGCUAAUGUUGCCCGUACCGUAAACCGACACAGGUGGGUGGGAUGAGUAUUCUAAGGCGCGUGGAAGAACUCUCUUUAAGGAACUCUGCAAAAUAGCACCGUAUCUUCGGUAUAAGGUGUGGUUAGCUUUGUAUUAGGAUUUACUCCGAAAGCAAGGAAACUUACAACAAAGAGUCCCUCCCGACUGUUUACCAAAAACACAGCACUCUGCUAACUCGUAAGAGGAUGUAUAGGGUGUGACGCCUGCCCGGUGCUCGAAGGUUAAUUGAUGGGGUUAGCAUUAGCGAAGCUCUUGAUCGAAGCCCGAGUAAACGGCGGCCGUAACUAUAACGGUCCUAAGGUAGCGAAAUUCCUUGUCGGUUAAAUACCGACCUGCAUGAAUGGCGUAACGAGAUGGGAGCUGUCUCAAAGAGGGAUCCAGUGAAAUUGUAGUGGAGGUGAAAAUUCCUCCUACCCGCGGCAAGACGGAAAGACCCCGUGGACCUUUACUACAGCUUGACACUGCUACUUGGAUAAGAAUGUGCAGGAUAGGUGGGAGGCUUUGAGUAUAUGACGCCAGUUGUAUAUGAGCCAUUGUUGAGAUACCACUCUUUCUUAUUUGGGUAGCUAACCAGCUUGAGUUAUCCUCAAGUGGGACAAUGUCUGGUGGGUAGUUUGACUGGGGCGGUCGCCUCCCAAAUAAUAACGGAGGCUUACAAAGGUUGGCUCAGAACGGUUGGAAAUCGUUCGUAGAGUAUAAAGGUAUAAGCCAGCUUAACUGCAAGACAUACAAGUCAAGCAGAGACGAAAGUCGGUCUUAGUGAUCCGGUGGUUCUGUGUGGAAGGGCCAUCGCUCAAAGGAUAAAAGGUACCCCGGGGAUAACAGGCUGAUCUCCCCCAAGAGCUCACAUCGACGGGGAGGUUUGGCACCUCGAUGUCGGCUCAUCGCAUCCUGGGGCUGGAGCAGGUCCCAAGGGUAUGGCUGUUCGCCAUUUAAAGCGGUACGCGAGCUGGGUUCAGAACGUCGUGAGACAGUUCGGUCCCUAUCUGCCGUGGGCGUAAGAAGAUUGAAGAGAUUUGACCCUAGUACGAGAGGACCGGGUUGAACAAACCACUGGUGUAGCUGUUGUUCUGCCAAGAGCAUCGCAGCGUAGCUAAGUUUGGAAAGGAUAAACGCUGAAAGCAUCUAAGCGUGAAGCCAACUCUAAGAUGAAUCUUCUCUAAGCUCUCUAGAAGACUACUAGUUUGAUAGGCUGGGUGUGUAAUGGAUGAAAGUCCUUUAGCUGACCAGUACUAAUAGAGCGUUUGGCUUAUCUUU
rnacentral:rRNA from 1 species